rnacentral:tRNA from 5 species
CCGAAAAUAGCUCAGCGGUAGAGCGGGAGACUGUAGUGGACAACAACCAAGAUAUCUCUAGGUCCCUGGUUCAAAUCCGGGUUUUCGGA